rnacentral:rRNA from 1 species
UCGACGAACGCGCAAUGCGUUAGUGGCGCACGGGUGAGUAACGCGUGGAUAUCUGCCUUUUGGUUCGGAAUAACCUUGGGAAACUAGGGCUAAUACCGAAUGGUUCCUACGGGAUAAAGAUUUAUCGCCAAAAGAUGAGUCCGCGUCCGAUUAGCUAGUUGGUGUGGUAAUGGCGCACCAAGGCGACGAUCGGUAGCUGGUCUGAGAGGACGAUCAGCCACACUGGGACUGAGACACGGCCCAGACUCCUACGGGAGGCAGCAGUGGGGAAUAUUGGACAAUGGGGGCAACCCUGAUCCAGCCAUGCCGCGUGAGUGAUGAAGGCCUUCGGGUUGUAAAGCUCUUUUGGCGGGGACGAUGAUGACGGUACCCGCAGAAUAAGCCCCGGCUAACUUCGUGCCAGCAGCCGCGGUAAGACGAAGGGGGCUAGCGUUGUUCGGAAUUACUGGGCGUAAAGCGAGUGUAGGUGGUUGUCAAAGUCAGGCGUGAAAGCCUCGAGCUCAACCCGAGAAAUGCGCUUGAUACUGGGCAGCUAGAGGACCGGAGAGGAUAGUGGAAUUCCCAGUGUAGCGGUGAAAUACGUAGAGAUUGGGAAGAACACCAGUGGCGAAGGCGGCUAUCUGGACGGUUUCUGACACUAAGACUCGAAAGCGUGGGGAGCAAACAGGAUUAGAUACCCUGGUAGUCCACGCCGUANACGAUGGGUGCUAGACGUUGGCGNGCUUGCCCGUCAGUGUCGCAGCUAACGCGUUAAGCA